rnacentral:siRNA from 1 species
UCAAACAAAGGGGUGUCUGCA